UUUUUAGUUAAAUAAAAUAUUUUGUGUACUAUAAGACUAAUAUAUAUAUGUUACAAGCCAAUUUUGGGCCCAACUUCUUACCCUUUACAACCAGACCCAAACCCCAAAACCCGGGAGCCGAAUUAGCCUACCAUUACAACUAACCCCCUAAUCCCCACCAACCUAGCCCACCUAAACUGACCCACUAACCCAAUGCAUCAGCCCAAUCAGCCCAAACUACCCAAAACCCUAGCCCCACUUCCGGUUCCCACUUGCGCCACCAACCCUGCAGCACCAGCAUGCCCAUCCCUCUGUCUGCUGCCUACUGACCGCCAUUUCUGUCCCAUCACCUCUGUCCACCCCCAUGCCACCGUUCAACCACCAUCUGCAAGACAAGGAGAAUACGCAAUUAGCAAAAUAUAGGAAACAGACUUGCAUGAAUGGCUAUAUAAACCGAUUAGAAGCAAAAAUCGAGAGGAUUUUUUUUAGAGGGGAUUCAAACAAGAGAAUAACAGAAUAGAUUCAAACACUAAGAAUAUAUAUCAAGCUGAUCAAAACUCAUUGAAGAAAUAAAAGGUUUUGUUCUUUUUUAGUUUCUGUCUACCUAUAUUUUCUUCUUUCGAAUACAUAGCAUAUUUCCUUUUAUUUUUUUUUGUUUCUCUCUUCUUUCAAAAAGAACACAUAUAUAUAUAUACAUAGAUAAAAAGAAAUAUAAAUAAAAAAAAACAAAAACGGUGGCCAGCGCCGGCGACGGGCCGACGAUCGGCCGGUGACCGGCCCCCCUGGCCGGAGCUCCCUCUCCCUCGCCCCUUUCUCUCUUCUUUCUCACCUUUUUUUUUCUUUUCUCUUCAUCAAAUGAUUUUUUUGUCAAAUUAAGGCCUUAUAUAGCCCACCAAACCGACGUCGUUUUGGGG
rnacentral:lncRNA from 1 species